rnacentral:rRNA from 1 species
GACGAACGCUGGCGGCGUGCUUAACACAUGCAAGUCGAACGGUAAGGCCCUUCGGGGUACACGAGUGGCGAACGGGUGAGUAACACGUGGGUGAUCUGCCCUGCACUUCGGGAUCAGCCUGGGAACCUGGGUCUAAUACCGGAUAGGACCACUGCCUGCAUGGGCGGUGGUGGAAAGCUUUUGCGGUGUGGGAUGGGCCCGCGGCCUAUCAGCUUGUUGGUGGGGUGAUGGCCGACCAAGGCGACGACGGGUAGCCGGCCUGAGAGGGUGACCGGCCACACUGGGACUGAGAUACGGCCCAGACUCCUACGGGAGGCAGCAGUGGGGAAUAUUGCACAAUGGGCGCAAGCCUGAUGCAGCGACGCCGCGUGAGGGAUGACGGCCUUCAGGUUGUAAACCUCUUUCAGCACCGACGAAGCGCAAGUGACGGUAGGUGCAGAAGAAGGACCGGCCAACUACGUGCCAGCAGCCGCAGUAA